UUAAAAUUUAAUUUUAGUUAAGAAUAUCGGUGUUUAGUUUUAAUUAUAUAUAAAUAUUAGUUUUAAUAAUUUUUAAUAAAUUUAAUGUACGGGGGUAAUUAUUAAAUUUAUUUAUUUAAGAAAUUUUGAAUUAGAAAACUAAUUAAAUAUUAAUUAAAUUUGUGCCAGCAAUUGCGGUUAUACAAAUAAUAUGUCUGAUAUAUUUUAUUUUAUAAUAAAUAGUUCUUUUUAAAUCUAAUGGUUAAAUUUUUAAGUGAAAUUUAAAUUUAAUUUAAAUUUUUUUAAGUGAUAUGGUUUAUGAAAGUUAUAUAAAAAACUAGGAUUAGAUACCCUAUUAUUAAAACUGUAAAAUUAUUAAUAUAGGAGUAUUUGUUAUGUUCUUGAAAUUAAAAAAAUUUGACGGUAUUUUAGUCUUUUUAGGGGAACCUGUUUCUUAAUCGAUAUUCCACGAUUUGUAAUACUUAAAUUUAUAAUUUAUAUAUCGUCGUAGUUAAAUAUUCUAUAAGGGGUUAUUUAAAAUUUUUAUAAAAAUUUAAUUCAGAUCAAGGUGUAGUAAUAUUUAAGUGGAAAAUGGGUUACAAUAAAUUUAUUUAAAUGGAUAAUAAUUUUAAAAAUUAAUUUGAAGGUGGACUUGAAAGUAAUUAAAUUUAAAUAAAUUUAAUGAUUUAAGCUCUGAAAUAUGUACAUAUUGCCCGUCGCUCUUGUUAUAAAAUUAGAUAAGUCGUAACAAAGUAGGUUUACUGGAAAGUGUAUCUAGAAAUAC
rnacentral:ncRNA from 1 species